UUAUAAAAAUGUACAGAAAUUUGCAACUCACUCUAGCUUUUAACUAAAUGUCCACCGCAGUUUUAAAUUAUGAGCAAUUUAAAGUUAAUAAUGUUAAAGUGAAAAUGCCCAGAAGAUAACAACAGAUUAAGUCUUGAUAAUUUUUUUAAUUUAGUAGACUAUUGAAGCUAUAGUAUGCCUUCGUUGUAUUUUGUAUUUAUGCAUACAUUACAUUAAAAAUAGGCAAUAUGUAAAAUGAACAGGUAUAUAUGCAAAAACCUACAGACAGGAUGAAUAGCCUACCUAUCCUAUAUGAGAGACGAAGCUCUAGAUAUUAUAAAUAUGACAGAUGCUAUGAUGUGAUGAUCAUGAAGUCUGUUUUAACAUGUGGGAGGGCAGAGUUAGCCAUGCCCACAUAUUUGCAUUCGGCGGAAUAGACGGAAUAGAAAAAUCUGUUACGUCUGACAUUUUAUUCCGCGGUAACGGAAUAUACCGUCAUACCGCCCAGCCCUAGUAGGCCCAUCAGAGUGAUUUCCUGAGCUCUUUCGCAUAUGCUGUAUGGUCAGAGAAUGGAUGGAUUAUCCAGUCACGGUACAUAAUGAAAGACUUGACUGAGUUAGAAGAAGCUGAGCGACUCUUCAGAGUGAAGAUGUUAUGAUGCAGUUAUGUCAAAGUACUCGUUUUGGCUGGCCAGAUUGGAAGAGACCUGAAUGGGAAGAUGGCAGAGCUAAGACUGACAAUGUCCAGGAAAAAUGUUAACUAAAAAUGAGUGUGUUUUUCCCCAGCGAGUGAGUUUGGGAAUGUUUUAAAUGUGCCUAGAAGUUUGAAAAUGUAAUACUGAGGGAAAAAAGUGAGCGCUUUGAAAAGGCUUUAAAAAGAAAAUAAAGUCUGAAGUUGAUGUUAAAUGAAGUUAAAGUUUUUACUUGAAAAGUUUGUACUUGUUUGUACUUGUCAAGUCUGUGCUGAAAUAAUGCAGUAAAGUUUGUAUUUGAAAAGACUUGGAAUUGUGUGUUCUGUAGAAUGAGUACAAAUAUAUGUGUAGGCUGUAUAAAAAAACAUAGUUGUGCCACUAAUAUAAGUGAAAGUACAUGGUGGCAUCAUAUAAGAAGCAUAUUUGUAUCCCUAAUAUAAGUGAAAGUACAUGGUGUCAUCAUAUUUGAAGCAUAUUUGUAUCCCUAAUAUAAGUGAAAGUAUGUACUAUGGAAAUAAGUACAUAUAUGCAUGUAUACAUAUAUGUGUCUUACAUAUAUUUCACAUGUAUGUCCAUAUAUGGGAAAAUAUAUGGCACUUAUAUGAAAACGGCCAUUUUUGCAAUAUUUUGAAAUAUAUUUUCCAUAUAUGUCCAUGUAUUUUACAUAUAUGAAUUUUGCAUAUUUAAUAUAUGCAGCAGACAUACAUGGGCACUGAUAUUAUAUAUGUAAUUUACAUAUAUUGACAUAUAUUACAUUUCUG